rnacentral:rRNA from 1 species
UACGAAGGGGGCUAGCGUUGUUCGGAAUCACUGGGCGUAAAGGGCGCGUAGGCGGCUAUUCAAGUCGGGGGUGAAAGCCUGUGGCUCAACCACAGAAUUGCCUUCGAUACUGUUUGGCUUGAGACCGGAAGAGGUAAGUGGAACUGCGAGUGUAGAGGUGAAAUUCGUAGAUAUUCGCAAGAACACCAGUGGCGAAGGCGGCUUACUGGUCCGGUUCUGACGCUGAGGCGCGAAAGCGUGGGGAGCAAACAGGAUUAGAAACCCCCGUAGUCC